rnacentral:lncRNA from 1 species
GAAUAUAAAUAUGACAUGCAUAUAAAAUUAAAACAAAUACUGGAAAGUUCGUAAUGGACUCGCGCGGGCAACGGUAAAAUGAGCGGCAGUAAAAAUAGUUUUUAAAUGGAUUUUGCUGGGAUUUUCGAACAGAUCGCGCUCGGUCUCGGAGUCCUCUUCAGCGCACAAGGACAUUUAAGAGUAAUUUAAUAUUAUUUAUUGUUUUUAAUAAAAUUCUGUUGCUUUAUUUGAAAAUCUACCUUGCACUGCAAUAAUAUAAGCACUCUGCGACCCCUCAC